CAAUAGCGUAUAUUAAAGUUGUUGCGGUUAAAAAGCUCGUAGUUGGAUUUCGGUUAAGAGCGACCGGUCCGCCGUUUGGUGUGCACUGGUUGGUUUUAACUUCCUGUAGAGGACGUGCUCUGGGUUUAACGACCUGGACUCGGAGUCUACGUGGUUACUUUGAAAAAAUUAGAGUGUUCAAAGCGGGCUUACGCUUGAAUAUUUCAGCAUGGAAUAACACUAUAGGACUCCUGUCCUAUUUCGUUGGUCUCGGGACGGGAGUAAUGAUUAAGAGGAACAGUUGGGGGCAUUCGUAUUUCAUUGUCAGAGGUGAAAUUCUUGGAUUUAUGAAAGACGAACUUCUGCGAAAGCAUUUGCCAAGGAUGUUUUCAUUAA
rnacentral:rRNA from 1 species